ACAAAUAUACUGAAACUUCUCUGCAAGGCCGCCAAUCCAAACCUUUUGAUUCUUAGUGUGCUUUGCCCAACUUGAAGCUUCAAUCUGCUUCGGCAAGGACCACUGGUUCCUGUCUUCGACAGGAGUGUUAGUUUUUUUUUGGCCAUGUUUGUCUAGUCUAGUCUAGACUAAUCUUUUCCUUUUGUGAUGCUUCUUUAUGAAUAUCUGUUGGGUUCUAUUCUUUUUUGGGCGGGUUUAAGGCUCGUGAGAUCCUUUCUUUUCUUCGCUUUAAGGGCUAUGUAAAGAGUCGAACCUCUCCAUUCUAAUCAAAUCAGAACAAAUAUAAUGAAUUCAAAAGAAAAACAGUAAAUUAAAUUUACACAGAAGACAGCAUGAGCGGGAAUUGAAGCAAAAGUGGGAAACGAAUUUCUAAAGCACGGACCAGGAGCCACGUUGGAUUGAAUGAAGGGAACGACAAAGAUGGUUCGGAUGCAUCAAUUUUUGAUGAAUGGUCUGCCCUGUUUGUGGAUGACGAGGAUGUGGUCAACGACGAUGAAUCCCUCUCAUCGUUGUGGGUAGAGGCACACAGGACGCUGUUGCAAUCACAUUCUUUUGCUGGGAAGCCAUCUUCUUCUUCCCUUGGCCAAGAAUCUUUCUGUAGAGGAUGGAGCUGAGGAAGAAGAUGAACUGCUGCUUGAUUUUUUUGUUAGACGCUGGCUUGAUGGGGUAAAGGCGUGACGAUGUGGUUGUUAGGGAGGUUUCUGAGGUGGCCCAAAAUGGAGCUCAAGCUAAUGGAGAUAAAGUAACGCUGUCUUCUUCCCCGACGGUUAGAUCUGAUCUCCUUCGGUUGAUCCUUGCAUCUGCUCCUAAUGAUGCUGACCAGACGGUGCUCGUGACCUCUACUCAAGAAGUGAAGAGACGUUUGAAAUGCCAUUCCUCAUAAUCGAUGGUUUUCUGAGGAGGUUGGUGCAAGAUUUUGGAUGAAAGGAAUAAAGCCACUUUCCAUGAAUUAUUGGUGGAUGCAAACGUAUAUGGUUUUUGAAUCGAUUGACUCGAGUAGAAAUUGUCUGCUAUCAAGGUUUGUCAAAUUGCUCUUUCGCUACGCCCCUUAAUUUAAAGGAAUUGAGCCAAACUGACUCGGGAAAAAAUCACUUUACCUCGAUGUUUUAAAAGCCAUUUGUUUGUCUUGUGAAAUCUUGUAUAAAAUUUCAUUCGUUUUCUAUCGACUGCUAAAAAAUUUGUUUUUUGUUCUUUGAUUAUGGUGGCUCUUUUUAAUAUAUUAACUGCUGGUUAGUGUAUGCCAAUUGAUAACGUAUGCUAAUUAAUGCUUGUACUGAGGUAAGUGGUUGUUUUUUGCUUGCUUAUUCAGUUUAAUAAUUGUGUAGUAACAUUUAUUUUAAUAUUUCUUUGUUGGUUAUUUUAUGCUGAAAUAAUGAAUUUUAAUUUAAUGGAAUUUGCACCCAAAAAAAUAUUACGCGUGAUAGCCUGAUAACCAUAGUUUUGCUAGAGACGGCAGGGUAUAAUUCCAAAUUUUCCUUGUUGGAGUUUGAAAUCAUGUCAUGGUUCUGGUGCUCGUAGAGAUCCAUGCUGUCCUGACUAUUUUAUGGUAGAUGGAGACUUCCUGUUUUCUGUUUUCUUUUUCAUCGAGAAUAUUUCUUGAAAUCUACUGUAUGAAUUUUAUUUGGUCGGGACAAUGGAUGGAAUGACCACACUGUUGGGAUGUGAAGUCUAACAGUCACAUGAAUUUUUGGCUCCCUCAACUUUUCAAUUUAUACUUUUGUAUGAAUGUAUAAAUAUGUGUGCAGUCUAUGUACUGAGUAUGUAUUUGGAUACAGUUAAUAUAAGAUUUCCCUGCUUGAGAGUGGACGUAGGCAAUUGUUGAACCACUAUAAAUUGUGUUUCGUAUCUUGUUAUUUCUUUAUUCUGUUUUGUUUUCAUUUCUCUGCUCGUUUUUAAUCUUCACAACUGGUAUCAGAGCCAUGGUUGGCUUGAGCAUAGAUGGAAAGGUAGAUAGAUAGAGGAUUGAAAAUUCUGGAGAAGAUGCAGAAGUUUGAAGGUAGAGAAAUUGGCUGCUGGUAUUGUGGCAAGCCAAGCCACGUCAAAAGAAAUUGUUGGUCUUUCAAGAAGGCUGAAAGGCAACCCAAAACUGUAGACACCGAUUCAGUCAUCAAGGAAUUUCUUGCAAAUAUAGACUCGGUGGAGAGUAAAAUUGUGCAAGUGAAGGCUGAAACGAAGCGCCAUGUACAUUGGUGGGAUGGCCGGAAAAAAGAGGAUGAUCCAGCAGAAAAGAUGUUGUCUCUAUGGUGAAGGUUGAGCAGAAUGAUGCCUCGGUUGGGAUUGACCAUGAUCCCUGUGUAGAGUUUGCAAUUUCUCCGCGUAAAGAUGCUGAAAAGGAAGCUGAUGUUGAAGAGAAGCGUGAAAUAGAGGAGGAACUAAAAAGAUCGUGGGAGGAAGAAUGGGUGCUAUCUGAAACCCAAGUUGAAUCUGCUGUUGAUUUUGCCUCCCCAAAUGAAGAGGAUGCAGAUUGGGGUCAGGAGCACCAGAUAAAUAUGCAGUUAUAACCAAUCAACUGUACUGUUGAACAUGUGCUAUCAUAAUGGGGUGAUUUAAGCCCUUCCCAAAAAGGCAUUUCAAAUGCAGAAUCCUAAGUUGCUGGUGUAGACAAAGGUUUGAGGAUACAGAAACCAAAAUCACUAAAAGCAGACUAAUGGACGAUAAAGUGUGGUCAUUUGUAUCACGGGAGGUGCCAGUUCUCCUGGUAAAGCCCCUCUCAAUAUUUGAAGGUGCAUAGCCUUCAUACCCAUUACUAAGAUAACGCAAUUCUUUGAAUUUUUGUAUGUGGAGGUUUUUGUGCUUGAAAAUUUGGAAAUGCAUUCCUUUUGUUGUUUUGAAAGAUGGUUCGAAGACUCGGCAAUACUGGUAUAGUAUCCUCCUUUUUGCUUUAAUGGCAUCUUUUGGGAGAUAUGGUAUUUUUUCAUAUCUAUAAUUUCACAAUCUUUAAUUAAGGCCUUAUUUGUAAAUCUCUUUAAUUUAUUGUUCUGCGGAGUGACUGAAUAUUCUGAUGUAUGCAGCUUGAUUAAAGAUGACGACAAUGGUCCAUAAUAUCUACUUAAUAAGUUGCUGAUAUGUUCUAUAAAGCUUUAAAGUGUACAAAAUUAGAUAUUCACUGGCAAAUACAUAGCUUAUGUGACAGUUUGGGCGCACAGCGACAUUGUGUGCAGGAGUUUUCGAAAAUGAUUUUUACCCGGUGGAAAGGUUUUCUGAGUUAGGAAUAAAUAUGUAGCAUUCAUGCUUGUAAUUUUCAGGCUCAAUAACUAGAUGAUAAUAUUAUUUUCUUCUAAAUUGCACAA